rnacentral:rRNA from 1 species
UACGUAGGUGGCAAGCGUUGUCCGGAAUUAUUGGGCGUAAAGCGCGCGCAGGCGGUCUUUUAAGUCUGAUGUGAAAGCCCACGGCUCAACCGUGGAGGGUCAUUGGAAACUGGGAGACUUGAGUGCAGAAGAGAAGAGCGGAAUUCCACGUGUAGCGGUGAAAUGCGUAGAGAUGUGGAGGAACACCAGUGGCGAAGGCGACUUUCUGGGCUGUAACUGACGCUGAGGCGCGAAAGCGUGGGGAGCAAACAGG